rnacentral:rRNA from 1 species
AUCGGGGUAGGGCUAAGCCAUGGGAGUCGAACGCCCCGCCGCUGCGGGGCGUGGCGGACGGCUGAGUAACACGUGGCUAACCUACCCUCGGGACGGGGAUAACCCCGGGAAACUGGGGCUAAUCCCCGAUAGGCGGGGAGGCCUGGAAGGGUUCCCCGCCGAAAGGGGCCGCGGGGGGUUAUCGCCCGCGGUCCGCACGAGGAUGGGGCUGCGGCCCAUCAGGUAGUUGGCGGGGUAAUGGCCCGCCAAGCCGACGACGGGUAGGGGCCGUGAGAGCGGGAGCCCCCAGAUGGGCACUGAGACAAGGGCCCAGGCCCUACGGGGCGCACCAGGCGCGAAAACUCCGCAAUGCGGGCAACCGUGACGGGGCUACCCCGAGUGCCCCCCUCGAGGGGGCUUUUCCCCGCUGUAAGUAGGCGGGGGAAUAAGCGGGGGGCAAGUCUGGUGUCAGCCGCCGCGGUAAUACCAGCCCCGCGAGUGGUCGGGGUGCUUACUGGGCCUAAAGCGCCCGUAGCCGGCUCGGCAAGUCCCCGCCUAAAGCCUCGGGCUCAACCCGGGGAGUGGCGGGGAUACUGCCGGGCUAGGGGGCGGGAGAGGCCGAGGGUACUCCCGGGGUAGGGGCGAAAUCCACUAAUCCCGGGAGGACCACCAGUGGCGAAGGCGCUCGGCUGGAACGCGCCCGACGGUGAGGGGCGAAAGCCGGGGGAGCGAACCGGAUUAGAUACCCGGGUAGUCCCGGCUGUAAACGAUGCGGGCUAGGUGUUGGGCGGGCGAGAGAGCCCGCCCAGUGCCGCAGGGAAGCCGUUAAGCCCGCCGCCUGGGGAGUACGGCCGCAAGGCUGAAACUUAAAGGAAUUGGCGGGGAGCACCACAAGG